UACGUAGGGUGCGAGCGUUGUCCGGAAUUAUUGGGCGUAAAGAGCUCGUAGGCGGUGUGUCGCGUCGGCCGUGAAAACCUGCAGCUUAACUGUGGGCUUGCGGUCGAUACGGGCUGGCUUGAGUGCGGUAGGGGAGACUGGAAUUCCUGGUGUAGCGGUGAAAUGCGCAGAUAUCAGGAGGAACACCGGUGGCGAAGGCGGGUCUCUGGGCCGUAACUGACGCUGAGGAGCGAAAGCGUGGGGAGCGAACAGG
rnacentral:rRNA from 1 species